CUCAAAUCAAAACUCCGAUUUCACCAAAAUGAUCCUCUCUUCUUCCUCUACAUAACCAUGUGACUUAUCAAGGCUGGAAAUAAGGAAUCAUGCUUAACUUGACUUGAGGGCCAAGAAACGUGACUUUCCAGAAAGUAUAAGGAAGAAAAAGUGCUUAAGGACCACCUGAAAGAGUAACCGGAUUUGAGGCAGCAAAUCAAG